CAUAUACUCCCUCCGUCCAAAAAUACUUGUGUGAGGAAUGGAUGUAUCUAGAUGUAUUUUAGUUCUAGAUACAAUCAUUUUUAUCCAUUUUUGCGACAAGUAAUUCUCAACAGAAGGAGUAUCAU
rnacentral:pre_miRNA from 1 species